GACGAACGCUGGCGGCGUGCCUAAUACAUGCAAGUAGAACGCUGAAGGAGGAGCUUGCUUCUCUGGAUGAGUUGCGAACGGGUGAGUAACGCGUAGGUAACCUGCCUGGUAGCGGGGGAUAACUAUUGGAAACGAUAGCUAAUACCGCAUAAGAGUAGAUGUUGCAUGACAUUUGCUUAAAAGGUGCAAUUGCAUCACUACCAGAUGGACCUGCGUUGUAUUAGCUAGUUGGUGGGGUAACGGCUCACCAAGGCGACGAUACAUAGCCGACCUGAGAGGGGGGUCGGCCACACUGGGACUGAGACCCGGCCCAGACUCCUACGGGAGGCAGCAGUAGGGAAUCUUCGGCCAUGGACGGAAGUCUGACCGAGCAACGCCGCGUGAGUGAAGAAGGUUUUCGGAUCGUAAAGCUCUGUUGUAAGAGAAGAACGAGUGUGAGAGUGGAAAGUUCACACUGUGACGGUAUCUUACCAGAAAGGGACGGCUAACUACGUG
rnacentral:rRNA from 1 species